rnacentral:rRNA from 1 species
CCUACGAGUGGCAGCAGUGAGGAAUAUUGGUCAAUGGACGCAAGUCUGAACCAGCCAUGCCGCGUGCAGGAAGACGGCUCUAUGAGUUGUAAACUGCUUUUGUACGAGGGUAAAUCCCGAUACGUGUAUCGGUUUGAAAGUAUCGUACGAAUAAGCAUCGGCUAACUCCGUGCCAGCAGCCGCGGUAAUACGGAGGAUUCAAGCGUUAUCCGGAUUUAUUGGGUUUAAAGGGUGCGUAGGCGGUUCGAUAAGUUAGAGGUGAAAUCCCGGGGCUCAACUCCGGCACUGCCUCUGAUACUGUCGGGCUAGAGUUUAGUUGCGGUAGGCGGAAUGUAUGGUGUAGCGGUGAAAUGCAUAGAGAUCAUACAGAACACCGAUUGCGAAGGCAGCUUACCAAACUACGACUGACGUUGAGGCACGAAAGCGUGGGGAGCAAACAGGAUUAGAUACCCCAGUAGUC